AUGGUUUAGCAGUGUCUACAUAUGCUGCACAUCAGAUGCUUCCCAUUUAUCCUGUGACUGCAGGAUGACAGCCCGUUAGAAGUAGACACCAACACAACUGAUUGAAGCACAGGGCAGUUCUGCCUCUUCAGCAAUCUGAAAAGAUGACUUAGAACCUUUGCCUCACUGCAAUCAGUCUUAAUUUACAUCACCUAGACAAUUAAAAAAAAAAAAAGUGCCUUCAAAGUAGCUUAGCUACAAAAAUACAAUUCCACAGCUGCAAAGAAGGGAUUACUACUGGCAGAAGUAGUCUUUUCAGAGAGCCGUAAGAGUGGAUGGAAG